GACGAACGCUGGCGGCGUGCUUAACACAUGCGAGUCGAACGGAAAGGCCCUGCUUUUGUGGGGUGCUCGAGUGGCGAACGGGUGAGUAACACGUGAGUAACCUGCCCUUGACUUUGGGAUAACUUCAGGAAACUGGGGCUAAUACCGGAUAGGAGCUCCUGCUGCAUGGUGGGGGUUGGAAAGUUUCGGCGGUUGGGGAUGGACUCGCGGCUUAUCAGCUUGUUGGUGGGGUAGUGGCUUACCAAGGCUUUGACGGGUAGCCGGCCUGAGAGGGUGACCGGCCACGUUGGGACUGAGGUACGGCCCAGAGUCCUACGGGGGGCAGCAGUGGGGAAUAUUGCACAAUGGGCGGAAGCCUGAUGCAGCAACGCCGCGUGCGGGAUGACGGCCUUCGGGUUGUAAACCGCUUUCGCCUGUGACGAAGCGUGAGUGACGGUAAUGGGUAAAGAAGCACCGGCUAACUACGUG
rnacentral:rRNA from 1 species